CCUACGGGGGGCUGCAGUGGGGAAUUUUGGACAAUGGGCGCAAGCCUGAUCCAGCCAUUCCGCGUGAGUGAAGAAGGCCUUCGGGUUGUAAAGCUCUUUCGCAAGGGAAGAAAACUUAUCCUCUAACAUAGGAUGAGGUUGACGGUACUUUGAUAAGAAGCACCGGCUAACUACGUGCCAGCAGCCGCGGUAAUACGUAGGGUGAGAGCGUUGCGCGGAAUUACUGGAGGUAAAUUGUUAAGUCAGAUGUGAAAGCCCCGAGCUCAACUUGGGAACUGCGUUUGAAACUACAAGACUAGAGUAGGUCAGAGGGGGGUAGAAUUCCACGUGUAGCAGUGAAAUGCGUAGAGAUGUGGAGGAAUAUCAAUGGCGAAGGCAGCCCCCUGGGAUCAUAUUGACGCUCAUGCACGAAAGCGUGGGGAGCAAACAGGAUUAGAUACCCCGGUAGUC
rnacentral:rRNA from 1 species